rfam:Schistosoma rodhaini strain Burundi genome assembly, scaffold: SROB_scaffold0005474
AUCCAGCUGACGAGUCUCAAAUAGGACGAGAGAUGACUCUUGGAU